GAUGAACGCUGGCGGCGUGCCUAAUACAUGCAAGUCGAGCGAACAGACGAGGAGCUUGCUCCUCUGACGUUAGCGGCGGACGGGUGAGUAACACGUGGAUAACCUACCUAUAAGACUGGGAUAACUUCGGGAAACCGGAGCUAAUACCGGAUAAUAUAUUGAACCGCAUGGUUCAAUAGUGAAAGACGGUUUUGCUGUCACUUAUAGAUGGAUCCGCGCCGCAUUAGCUAGUUGGUAAGGUAACGGCUUACCAAGGCAACGAUUCGUAGCCGACCUGAGAGGGUGGUCGGCCACACUGGAACUGAGACACGGUCCAGACUCCUACGGGAGGCAGCAGUAGGGAAUCUUCCGCAAUGGGCGAAAGCCUGACGGAGCAACGCCGCGUGAGUGAUGAAGGUCUUCGGAUCGUAAAACUCUGUUAUUAGGGAAGAACAAAUGUGUAAGUAACUAUGCACGUCUUGACGGUACCUAAUCAGAAAGCCACGGCUAACUACGUG
rnacentral:rRNA from 1 species